AAUAUUGCGCAAUGGAGGGAACUCUGACGCAGCGACGCCGCGUGAGCGAUGAAGGUUUUCGGAUAGUAAAGCUCUGUCCUUUGGGAAGGAGGUCUUCGGACUUGACGGUACCUGAGGAGGAUGCCCCGGCUAACUACGUGUCAGCCGCCGCGGUAAUACGGAGGGGGCAAGCGUUGUCCGGAAUUAUUGGGAGUAAAGGGUGGGUAGGCGGCCUUUUAAGUCAGGUGUGAAAGCCCACGGCUUAACCGUGGGAUUGCAUUUGAAACUGGAAGGCUUGAGUAUCGGAGAGGGUAGUGGAAUUCCCAGUGUAGCGGUGGAAUGCGUAGAUAUUGGGAGGAACACCAGUGGCGAAGGCGACUACCUGGACGAAAACUGACGCUGAGGCACGAAAGCUAGGGGAGCAAACA
rnacentral:rRNA from 1 species